AGCGAACGCUGGCGGCAGGCCUAACACAUGCAAGUCGAACGAACCUUUCGGGGUUAGUGGCGGACGGGUGAGUAACACGUGGGAACGUGCCUUUAGGUUCGGAAUAACUCAGGGAAACUUGUGCUAAUACCGAAUGUGCCCUUCGGGGGAAAGAUUAAUCGCCUUUAGAGCGGCCCGCGUCUGAUUAGCUAGUUGGUUGAGGUAAUGGCUCACCAAGGCGACGAUCAGUAGCUGGUCUGAGAGGAUGAUCAGCCACAUUGGGACUGAGACACGGCCCAAACUCCUACGGGAGGCAGCAGUGGGGAAUCGUGCGAAAUGGGCGAAAGCCUGACGCAGCCAUGCCGCGUGAAUGAUGAAGGUCUUAGGAUUGUAAAAUUCUUUCACCGGGGACGAUAAUGACGGUACCCGGAGAAGAAGCCCCGGCUAACUUCGUG
rnacentral:rRNA from 1 species